rnacentral:lncRNA from 1 species
UUCAGUCUUGUUCAUGUAUUUUCAUAACAGAUGAGAGGAGCUUUGAAUUAGGAGAGGGCAGUGCCUAAGAAGAUUAGGAUAAUAUUCUAGUUGCAAAAUUUGCAUUGCAUUAUGAGCAUUCAUGUACCACAGAGAUGAGUGCAGAACAAGAACCUAGAUAGUAAUGCCAGUGCAGAAGAACUUGUGCUGUGUGAAGACGUUCUUGGAGCGCUGGUGGGAAGCCACAGUGAAAAGCAUCAGCAAAUCUCUUUCUGCUUGUGCUUGAAAUAUGGGCUCUGAGAUCACCGGGAUCUUCUUAGCCGGUCGUCUUCCUAUGUGACCAAUGUUCUAUUCAGAGAGGGGAUAUGAUUCUGGAAUAUGGACCCAGGCUGACACUGGAAUGAGGGUCAGGCAGAUUUGUACGUUGAAGAUACUGUUAAAUACUCCACUGAUGGCAUUGAAAAUCGAGCUCAGAGGCCUCUGGAUGAAAUUCGGCAGUGAUCCAUCAGUCCAUCUCAGAGAAGUACCCUGCAGAAAAGUAAUACAGAAGUUUAAUGAGAACUGCAGAGAGAACAGCAUCAGCCAGACAUUCUAGAUACGUUAUACUCACCUUCCAAGCCUGGGAGAACCAGUACGCCUAGCAGCAGGAACAAAAAUGGAAGGGACUUCAUUGCUAUGAGACCUUGCGACACUGUUGCCUGCAAUGUGUAAAUAUCAGGUAGAAGUUGUUUAUCCAGGCACCUGACUGCUGCAGUGCUAAAAUAAUAAUGGCAGGAGAGGGGUAAAAUGGAGUAACUGGAUACUAAAGAAAGAAAGAUGGAACAGCCCAGGGAAAGGAACUUUGUGAGCAUGAUGAAUGAGGAUUUCUCCAUGGACUCUAAUUAACAUUAAUGUGAAUCACAUGGCUAACUCUGAUACACAGCAGGCCAAACUCAACCCUAGUGUGACUUGGCUUGGCUAGAUGCUGAUCUUCAUUACAUUGGGGGCACAUCUCAGAGUAAUUCCAUUUAAUCCAUUGGGGUUACUCUGGAUUUACACAAAUAUAGUGGAGAUUAGAAUCAGGUGCAGUGUCUUGAAAACACCUCGUCCCUCCCCCACCCCCAAAUAAUUAAGAGAAAAAGUAAGAAAUGUAUAAAGAGGAAGCUGAUACAUGCAUAAGAAAGACAACUAUUGGCAUGUGUGUAUAUAUGUAAAGUGUAUAUGUAUAGAUAGAAAGAAAAAUAAUAUAAUAAAUAGACUGAGAGAGACA